UUCUGCAGUUAUAUUCAGCCCUCAGACAGGCAGACGGUGCCAGAUUUUUGAAAACCUAACAGUUAGUAGAUGUCCAGCAUUCCUUCCUGCCUGACCAUGUUUUUUGACCACUUUUUGCAUCUUGGAUUUUUCCUGUCAUGCCCGACCCUCAUUGGAUGUCUCUCACCUCUGGAUCAUGACCUUGUUUCUGCCUCUCGAUCAAAGCCUCCUGCCUCGCCCCUGGAUUUGUCUGCCUGAGUCUGCCUCCCUGGUAUCUCCCAGUUACUGCCCCCUUUGACCACCGAGUCUUGGAUCUUUCUCCCUGUCGGCAAUCCGACUUCUGGCAGCACCGCAAAGGAGCCUAUUCUGAUUCCUCCGUCCUACACGGACUCUGUUAAGGUGGUGGAGUCCUGAGUAUCUGUGCGAUGCUUCUGAAUAAAUCUUUUAACUUUUA